UACGUAGGGGGCAAGCGUUGUCCGGAAUCAUUGGGCGUAAAGCGCGCGUAGGCGGCCCGGUAAGUCCGCUGUAAAAGUCCAGGGCUCAACCCUGGAAAGCCGGUGGAUACUGUCGGGCUAGAGUCCGGAAGAGGCGAGUGGAAUUCCUGGUGUAGCGGUGGAAUGCGCAGAUAUCGGAAGGAACAUCAGUGGCGAAAGCGACUUCCUGGACCAAUACUGACGCUCAUGUGCGAAAGCGUGGGGAGCAAACAGG
rnacentral:rRNA from 1 species